rnacentral:rRNA from 1 species
CACAAGCGGUGGAGCAUGUGGUUUAAUUCGAAGCAACGCGAAGAACCUUACCAGGUCUUGACAUCCCCUGACAACCCGAGAGAUCGGGCGUUCCCCUUCGGGGGACAGGGUGACAGGUGGUGCAUGGUUGUCGUCAGCUCGUGUCGUGAGAUGUUGGGUUAAGUCCCGCAACGAGCGCAACCCUCGACCUUAGUUGCCAGCAUUCAGUUGGGCACUCUAAGGUGACUGCCGGCUAAAAGUCGGAGGAAGGUGGGGAUGACGUCAAAUCAUCAUGCCCCUUAUGACCUGGGCUACACACGUGCUACAAUGGGCGGUACAAAGGGUCGCGAACCCGCGAGGGGGAGCCAAUCCCAAAAAGCCGCUCUCAGUUCGGAUUGCAGGCUGCAACUCGCCUGCAUGAAGCCGGAAUCGCUAGUAAUCGCGGAUCAGCACGCCGCGGUGAAUACGUUCCCGGGCCUU